UUUAUAUUUUUUAAACCAAACUCUCUCUCUCUCUCUCUUCCCUCCCCGUUAAUACUAAUACUAUCAAUGGUUUAUGGAGAUACAUGGAAAAAAAAGAAUGGAACAAUCUGGCAUUAGUGUAAUAGUCCCCUCAAAUGUACAAUUAGGGCUAGUCACAAUAAACCAAAUGGAAAGAAGUUCCUUACAUUUAAGCAAUCCAAGCCGCUGGUACAUACACUAUAACUUUAAACACGGGUCAAUGUUUUAAAAUUAAUAUGAAGGUUCUUGCAACGUUUAGGAUAUUUUAAAGGAGCUUUUCAGAUUCUAUUCUAUAACACACUUUACAAAAGUGCAAUUAUUUUUUUUCCUUUAGUGUCAUUCCUAAGUUCUCACGUGGG